AUGCUCACUUCGGCAGCACAUAUACUAAAAUUGGAAUGAUACAGAGAAGAUUAGGAUGGCCCCUGCGCAACGAUGACACGCAAAUUUGUGGAGCAUUAAAAAAAAAAU
ensembl:snRNA U6 U6 spliceosomal RNA